UAUCCCUGGCAAGUGUGUCUGCCUUGCUUACCCCCAGAGAAAAAGAAAAUCAGAAACAGUGUUUGAGAAAUAUCUGAGGGAGUGCUCUGUCCUUGUGAACUACAGCGAUCUAGCGGAUCAGAACAGCCCAGAGAUGUGCACUCGUCUUACGUGGGUAUGCAAUGCGCAUACACUCAAGAAGGUUUUAAACAUAGAACACUUCCUCUCCACAGAGUUGCUCCCUGUGAAGGAAUCCUGCCACCGUCCCACAUUGGGAGGAACUGAGGCCUCCUUUCAACAACCAUCACCAUGUGGAUGAACCGUUUUGGAAGAGAAUCCGCCAGCCCCAGUGAAGUCUCCAGACGACGGCAGCCCUGAUCGCACCUUACCCGCAACCUCAUGAGAGAACCUGAGACAGAACCACCCAGCUAAGCCACUAUAGAACUUCUGACCCACAGACACUGGAUAAUAAGUGUUUUAAAACACUAAGUGUUGAAAUAAUUUGUUGCAAUUAAUCAUUACAGGAGUCUGGGUGUUUUAGUUUUGUAUCAUCAUUACUUUUGCUCUCCUUCUAUCUAUCCACCAA